UAGAAGGCCUAGGACACCUGG
rnacentral:piRNA from 1 species